UAACCGAUAUCAUCCUUAAUUUUAGUCCAAGUGAGUAGUAGAGAGAAUGGAGGAAGCAAUAAAAGUGGGCUGAAGAUGGCCCAAAAGAAUCUCAAAUCGUUUCCUGUUUAGUUGACACAGAUCUGAAUCUGCUUCUUCAUCUUGAUUCCAUUUUGUGUGAUAAGAUCUGAAUCAAUCAAUCACUGAAACAAACAACAAUGGAGAAAUCAUGCACUCUCAUUGUCCACUUCGACAAAGGUACCCCCGCACUCGCCAACGAAAUCAAAGAAUCUUUGGAAGGAAACGACGUCGCUGCCAAAAUCGAUGCAUUGAAGAAAGCAAUCAUGCUUCUCCUCAACGGUGAAACCAUUCCACAACUCUUCAUCACAAUUAUCCGUUAUGUCCUUCCUUCUGAGGAUCACACUAUCCAGAAGCUUCUCCUUCUCUACCUUGAGAUCAUUGAUAAAACUGAUUCUCGUGGCAAGGUUCUCCCUGAAAUGAUUCUUAUCUGUCAGAAUCUUCGUAACAAUCUUCAACACCCUAACGAGUAUAUUCGUGGUGUUACUCUCCGAUUCCUAUGCCGUUUAAACCAAUCAGAGAUCGUUGAGCCACUCAUUCCUUCAAUUUUGUCCAAUCUCGAACACCGUCACCCUUUCGUCAGGCGCAAUGCAGUCCUUGCAAUUAUGUCUGUCUAUAAACUCCCUCAGGGAGAGCAAUUGCUUGAUUCCGCGCCGGAGAUCGUUGAUAAGUUUAUCUCAACUGAGCAGGAUCCUUCCAGUAAGCGCAAUGCUUUCUUGAUGCUGUUCUCAUGUUCGCAGGAUCGCGCUAUUAGUUAUCUUUUUACCAACAUUGACAAGAUAAUUGACAUAUGAAUAUAUAUAAUAAUAUACAAAAAAAAUAUGCGUAUACAUAAUAAGAACAUGAUAAUAUCUUCUUAUAUUUGAUAUACAAAUGCAUAAAUAACAAAUAUAACAAUACUCUCACAUUUGACCAAAUACAUAUGCAUAUUCCAUGUUUAAACUUUAUCAAAUAAUGUCUGUGAGCCGCCCAUUUUGCCUGUUUGAAAUGUUAUCAAGCGAAUAGGACAUGAUGAACAUACAUUUAGGACAUAUUGACAUGUUUUUCAUGUCUUGUCAGUAUGGGGAGCGAGUCACAUGGAUUAUGUUCAAAUAUCCAAUAGUACCCAUAACCUAUAUGACGAGAAAUUAACUUUAAUACUUUAUACAAAAAAGAGUAAAUACACAUUUUAAUUAAAGAUGGUAAUGAGUUUGGAUGAGUCUGAGUAGUGCAUUACCUAGACCCAUCCCGUUACUUUAUUUUUUUGAUCCAAACUCGCCCUAGACUUGUGUUAAUACCUGUUGGGUCUGCUACCCGUGUAUCUUUUUGUACAUACCCAAUGGAUAUGUGGGUACGUACAAGUUCAAAAAUAUUAAAAAUAAUUGUGAGAAAUUUAUGUAAUUGUGUGUUUGUUUCCUACAAUCUUAUAUGUUAUUUAAUCAAUUAACAAGAGAAAAAUUACAAAAUAUAAUUAAAGUUUUAAACAUAAUUUAAAUUGUCUAUUAAAAAUAACUCAUUUUACUCAAACAAACAUAAAAAGUAAAGUCAUUACUUCAACAUUAUGAUGUGAUGAAAAAUUGAUUUAGUAAGAACUGUAUAUCAAAUAUAACAUUAUAUUGCACAUAUGAAUUAACAACAUAAAAUGGUAUCACACUCAUUGACAAUAUAACAUCAUUGUUUAACAAUAUUAAGAAUUAUAUUUAUGACUUAAUAUGAUAUUACAAUUAUGAAUUAACAAUAUAAAAAGACAAUAAUGAUUAACAUAAUAUUACAGUUAUGUUGUUUUGAUAUAUAUAUCCGAAGUACCUACAGGUUUAAAAACACGGACCUAAACCCGACUCAUUAUGGGUAUUCUGAGUUUGGGUAACCGAUAUCAUCCUUAAUUUUAGUCCAAGUGAGUAGUAGAGAGAAUGGAGGAAGCAAUAAAAGUGGGCUGAAGAUGGCCCAAAAGAAUCUCAAAUCGUUUCCUGUUUAGUUGACACAGAUCUGAAUCUGCUUCUUCAUCUUGAUUCCAUUUUGUGUGAUAAGAUCUGAAUCAAUCAAUCACUGAAACAAACAACAAUGGAGAAAUCAUGCACUCUCAUUGUCCACUUCGACAAAGGUACCCCCGCACUCGCCAACGAAAUCAAAGAAUCUUUGGAAGGAAACGACGUCGCUGCCAAAAUCGAUGCAUUGAAGAAAGCAAUCAUGCUUCUCCUCAACGGUGAAACCAUUCCACAACUCUUCAUCACAAUUAUCCGUUAUGUCCUUCCUUCUGAGGAUCACACUAUCCAGAAGCUUCUCCUUCUCUACCUUGAGAUCAUUGAUAAAACUGAUUCUCGUGGCAAGGUUCUCCCUGAAAUGAUUCUUAUCUGUCAGAAUCUUCGUAACAAUCUUCAACACCCUAACGAGUAUAUUCGUGGUGUUACUCUCCGAUUCCUAUGCCGUUUAAACCAAUCAGAGAUCGUUGAGCCACUCAUUC
rnacentral:lncRNA from 1 species